AGUGAUGUCGAGCAGCGGCCACUCAAUUGCUUCAUAAGCAAUGUUAUGCAGGUUCGACUCCUGCCGUCACGU
rnacentral:tRNA from 2 species